AUGAGGUAUGAUAUUACAAUAAUCCCUUUGCAGGUUGCACGGGUCAUUGGAAGAGAUUGCAGGUCAUGCUUUAAUAAAUUGCUCUUUUGCCAACUUGUUUUUUAUUGACUCUUUGGAACAUUUGGCAAAUGCGGCGCAAAAGUCUCAACAACAAGAACGGUGAUGUCAUGGAGCGAAUGGAGACACUUUGAACGUAAUCUUUAAAGUUUGAUGUAUUGCUGUUUGUUUUUAUUUUUGUAUUCUGUACUUGAAUGUGUUGUGGGUAUCCUUAGCAUCUCAAUAUGGUGCCUUCAACGGUGGGUUUAAUAAAGUGUUAUGUAUUGUCAUUAAAAGAAAUUAUGUGUGGUUU
rnacentral:lncRNA from 1 species